AUUUUUACCAAGGAGUUCCGUAUCUUUGGGACCGCAUAAAUGUUAAAAUACCAAAAAGAUCUGCAUAUCCACACAAAUAUUUAACCCAUGCCAGUACAUUAGAAAAGUGAAAAAUGAAGGAGCGGAGCACGUGCCAUUGAGCACCACUAAUGAGUCCAGCACGGUCAGUUCUGCAGCUUGCUUGUGUCUUCGGUGGCUUUCCAUUGUAAGCCCCGCCCACAGUGAGUAGGUGUGCAUAAAUCCAUACAAUGAUCACCGUGAAAAGAACAGCAAAACGAUCA
rnacentral:misc_RNA from 1 species